GUUUGAUCCUGGCUCAGGAUGAACGCUAGCGGCAGGCUUAACACAUGCAAGUCGAGGGGUAUAGGUUUUCGGACCUAGAGACCGGCGCACGGGUGCGUAACGCGUAUGCAAUCUACCUUUUGCAGAGGGAUAGCCCAGAGAAAUUUGGAUUAAUGCCCCAUAGUAUAUAUCAUUCGCAUGUUUGAUAUAUUAAAGUUCCAACGGUAAAAGAUGAGCAUGCGUCCCAUUAGUUAGUUGGUAAGGUAACGGCUUACCAAGACAAUGAUGGGUAGGGGUCCUGAGAGGGAGAUCCCCCACACUGGUACUGAGACACGGACCAGACUCCUACGGGAGGCAGCAGUGAGGAAUAUUGGACAAUGGGCGCAAGCCUGAUCCAGCCAUGCCGCGUGCAGGAAGACGGUCCUAUGGAUUGUAAACUGCUUUUGUACGGGAAGAAACACUCCUACGUGUAGGAGCUUGACGGUACCGUAAGAAUAAGGAUCGGCUAACUCCGUGCCAGCAGCCGCGGUAAUACGGAGGAUCCAAGCGUUAUCCGGAAUCAUUGGGUUUAAAGGGUCCGUAGGCGGUUUAGUAAGUCAGUGGUGAAAGCCCAUCGCUCAACGAUGGAACGGCCAUUGAUACUGCUAGACUUGAAUUACUAGGAAGUAACUAGAAUAUGUAGUGUAGCGGUGAAAUGCUUAGAUAUUACAUGGAAUACCAAUUGCGAAGGCAGGUUACUACUAGUGGAUUGACGCUGAUGGACGAAAGCGUGGGGAGCGAACAGGAUUAGAUACCCUGGUAGUCCACGCCGUAAACGAUGGAUACUAGCUGUUGGGCGCAAGUUCAGUGGCUAAGCGAAAGUGAUAAGUAUCCCACCUGGGGAGUACGUUCGCAAGAAUGAAACUCAAAGGAAUUGACG
rnacentral:rRNA from 1 species